rnacentral:lncRNA from 1 species
AGUCAUGGAUGGAUCCCGGCUCCCAUGGGAGUUCGGACGGAGUCUUCCUUGUGGUUGGAGUCGUGGACGGAGCACGGCUCCCGUAGGAGUCCGGGCGGAGUCUUCCUUGCAGUUGGAUUCAUGGACGGAGCUCGGCUCCCGUAGGGGUCCAGGCGGAGCCUUCCUGCAAUUAAUAGUCAGGUGAGAAGUCCGACUCCCAUAGGAGUCCGGACGGAGCUUACCAGCAGUUGAAGUUGGCGACAGAGCCCGACUCCCGUAGGAGUCCGAACGGAGUCCUCCUUGCGGUUGAAGUCGUGGAC